rnacentral:rRNA from 1 species
GAACGAACGCUGGCGGCGCGCCUAAUACAUGCAAGUCGAGCGAGAAGGUGUAGCAAUACACUUGUAAAGCGGCGAACGGGUGAGGAAUACAUGGGUUACCUACCCUCGAGGUGGGGAAUAACUAGCCGAAAGGUUAGCUAAUACCGCAUACGAUUCCAGGACUUUCGGUUUUGGAAGGAAAGCACUACCGUGGGUAGUGCGCUCCUGGAUGGGCUCAUGUCCUAUCAGCUUGUUGGNGAGGUAAUGGCUCACCAAGGCUUUCGACGGGUAGCUGGUCUGAGAGGACGAUCAGCCACACUGGCACUGCGACACGGGCCAGACUCCUA